rnacentral:lncRNA from 1 species
AAACCCAAAGGAAAUUGAGUACUUGAAAGAGAAAUAGAGUUUCAGAUCACUGAAAUGAGUAUGUGAGUAUAUAGCAUGUGCAUAAAUAUGUUCCCAUAUAGCAUGUGUAAAGAUGUUCCCAGAAUAUGUAAUUGCAGUAUUAUUGUCGCUUCCCUUAUAGGAACAUGUUAGUAACGGCCCAAAGAUUGCUUCUGUCUGGAUACACUAGGGCUAUCACCUCCCCAUUAUACAGUGAACAUGGAGGUUUACCAGCUUCUCAAGAUUUCCUUAGCAUGACAUUGUAUGUCUGUGUGUGUGUGUGUGUCGGGGGUGUGUGUAAAGCUACAGAGAAGCAAAGAAAGUCUGAGUGAAUUAGAAUGCCAUUAUAUGUAGCAUUUUAUCUUCCACAGUUUUUGACAAUACAUAAAUCCUAUUUAUAGAAGCAAGCUUGUGUAUUAAUGAUUGCAUGUCAAUAUUAAUGAUUAGAGCAACAAAACAAUGCCUGUGGGUGGAGACUGAGAGACUGAGAUGAAAUCAAAGCGGGCACCAUGGAAACAUUUCAGAAGGAAGAGAGCUUCAUUAUGGUAUUUCACUGGGGUGCUUAUCUUAUUUGGCACUUCUAAUUAAUGCACUAAGAGAGAAGGGUAAUUUCUUUUAUUCAGAUUGCUGAAUCCUUGUAAACAACAAUGCCAUGUGAACCAUUAUUUUAAAAGAUGGAAAAGCAUUCAAAAUUCAGAGCUUUUGUUUCCUAACUUAAAUGUACCACUUUGCCUAAUGGCUUCCUUAUCUUUAUCUACUUUGAUAUUUAUUUUUGACAUCUUAUAUCCUUCAUCAGAAAUCCAAAAUUUUUAAAUGUGUUUGUUAGCCACUUGUAUGUCCUCUUUUGAGAAGUGUCUGUUCAAUCGUACUCCAAACCCCAGCAUCACACACUCUACCUUUGUAACAAACCUGCACGUAUGCCUCUGGAAUCUAAAAUAAAAGAAUAUCAUUAUUCUUAAUGUUACUACUGUGUUAUCAACACAUUAAGAUCAGGAAAUUCCUUCAAGUUCAUGCGCUUAUAGAGGCCAUUCUCUAGAAAAUACAGGGUGUCAUUAAAAGGCUUUUUUUUAACAACAGAUUUGUGCAAAUAUAACAAAAAGAGAUCAAGUAAAGUUUAGAAAGAAUGGUAAAAUGUAAAAGGAGAUGGGGCCGGGUGUGGUGGCUCGUGGCUGUAAUUCCAGCACUUUGGGAGGCUGAGGUGGGCAGAUGAUUUGAAACUAGGAGUUCAAGACCAGCCCGGUCAACAUGGUGAAACCUCGUCUCUACUAAAAACACAAAAGUUAGCCGGGCCUGGUGGUGCAUGCCUGUGGUCGCAGCUACUCAAGACGCGCAGGCAGGAGCAUUGCUUGAACUUGGGAGGCAGAGGUACAAUGAGCAGAGAUUGUGCCACUACACUCCAGCCUGGGUGACAGAGCAAGACUCUGCCUCAACAAAAAAAAAAGAAAAA